GAGAGUUUGAUCCUGGCUCAGAUUGAACGCUGGCGGCAGGCCUAACACAUGCAAGUCGAGCGGAUGAAGGGAGCUUGCUCCUGGAUUCGGCGGCGGACGGGUGAGUAAUGCCUAGGAAUCUGCCUGGUAGUGGGGGAUAACGUCCGGAAACGGGCGCUAAUACCGCAUACGUCCUGAGGGAGAAAGUGGGGGAUCUUCGGACCUCACGCUAUCAGAUGAGCCUAGGUCGGAUUAGCUAGUUGGUGGGGUAAAGGCCUACCAAGGCGACGAUCCGUAACUGGUCUGAGAGGAUGAUCAGUCACACUGGAACUGAGACACGGUCCAGACUCCUACGGGAGGCAGCAGUGGGGAAUAUUGGACAAUGGGCGAAAGCCUGAUCCAGCCAUGCCGCGUGUGUGAAGAAGGUCUUCGGAUUGUAAAGCACUUUAAGUUGGGAGGAAGGGCAGUAAGUUAAUACCUUGCUGUUUUGACGUUACCAACAGAAUAAGCACCGGCUAACUUCGUGCCAGCAGCCGCGGUAAUACGAAGGGUGCAAGCGUUAAUCGGAAUUACUGGGCGUAAAGCGCGCGUAGGUGGUUCAGCAAGUUGGAUGUGAAAUCCCCGGGCUCAACCUGGGAACUGCAUCCAAAACUACUGAGCUAGAGUACGGUAGAGGGUGGUGGAAUUUUCUGUGUAGCGGUGAAAUGCGUAGAUAUAGGAAGGAACACCAGUGGCGAAGGCGACCACCUGGACUGAUACUGACACUGAGGUGCGAAAGCGUGGGGAGCAAACAGGAUUAGAUACCCUGGUAGUCCACGCCGUAAACGAUGUCGACUAGCCGUUGGGGAUCCUUGAGAUCUUAGUGGCGCAGCUAACGCGAUAAGUCGACCGCCUGGGGGAGUACGGCCG
rnacentral:rRNA from 1 species